UACAGAGGAUGCGAGCGUUGUCCGGAUUUAUUGGGCGUAAAGAGUUCGUAGGCGGUUUGUUAAGUCUGAUGUUAAAGAUCAGGGCUCAACCCUGAGAGUGCAUUGGAUACUGGCAGACUGGAGUGUGGUAGAGGUAAGUGGAAUUCCUGGUGUAGCGGUGAAAUGCGUAGAUAUCAGGAAGAACACCGGUGGCGUAGGCGACUUACUGGGCCAUAGCUGACGCUGAGGAACGAAAGCCAGGGGAGCAAAUGGG
rnacentral:rRNA from 1 species